UCCAAGCUAUAUGAUAUGGACAACACAUGAUUUAUGGAACGAAAAGAGCCGAGCAUAGUGUGCUGCCGCGCCGUCGAUUUCCACGAAGUGGCCAGCCCGAGCCGAUUCCCCAAUGUGUCAAUGACUACGUCCGCUGCGUGAUCCUGUGGGACAUGACCAAUCCAUUGCCUUAUCAACACAUCGAGGGUGAAUUGAGUUCAGAGCUUUGAGCAAACGAUUGCGAUUUUGUAGCUGCAGUGGUGCUAUUCUUUAUCAUUUGGCAGAUGAAGGCCGUCGAAGAUC